ACUUAAAUAGCUUAUUUAGAGUAUGACAUUGAAGAUGUUGUGGAGAUAAUUAAAAUCUUUAAGUG
rnacentral:tRNA from 1 species